rnacentral:rRNA from 1 species
UACGGAGGGUGCAAGCGUUGUCCGGAUUUAUUGGGUUUAAAGGGUGCGUAGGCGGCCGAUUAAGUCUGGGGUGAAAGCCCACUGCUCAACAGUGGAACUGCCCUGGAAACUGGUUGGCUUGAGUACAGACGAGGGUGGCGGAAUGGAUACUGUAGCGGUGAAAUGCAUAGAUAGUAUCCAGAACCCCGAUUGCGAAGGCAGCUGCCUAGACUGUAACUGACGCUGAGGCACGAAAGCGUGGGGAGCGAACAGG